rnacentral:misc_RNA from 1 species
UCCGAGUUGACCCCGGCAGUCUCUUAUGAGUCCCCGGCAUGACCCGCUGGCAACAUAAGACGAGGGUUGCGCUCGUUGCGGGACUUAACCCAACAUCUCACGACACGAGCUGACGACAACCAUGCACCACCUGUGAACCAGCCCCAAAGGGGAAGAACUGUCUCCAGUCCGAUCCGGUCCAUGUCAAGCCUUGGUAAGGUUCUUCGCGUUGCAUCGAAUUAAUCCGCAUGAUCCACCGCUUGUGCGGGCCCCCGUCAAUUCCUUUGAGUUUCAGCCUUGCGGCCGUACUCCCCAGGCGGGGCACUUAAUGCGUUAGCGCCGGCACUCAGGGGGUCGCUCCCCCAAGCACCUAGUGCCCAUCGUUUACGGCGUGGACUAC